rnacentral:rRNA from 1 species
AUUGAACGCUGGCGGCAGGCCUAACACAUGCAAGUCGAACGAGUUGCGGACGGGUGAGUAAUGUCUGGGAAACUGACUGAUGGAGGGGGAUAACUACGGGAACCGGUAGCUAAUCCCGCAUACCAUCGGAUGUGCCCAGAUGGGAUUAGCUAGUAGGUGGGGUAACGGAACACCUAGGCGACGAUCCCUAGCGGGUCUGAGAGGAGGACCAGCCACACUGGAACUGAGACACGGUCCAGACUCCUACGGGAGGCAGCAGUGGGGAAUAUUGCACAAUGGGCGCAAGCCUGAUGCAGCCAUGCCGCGUGUAUGAAGAAGGCCUUCGGGUUGUAAAGUACGUUCAGCGGGGAGGCGUUACCCGCAGAAGAAGCACCGGCUAACUCCGUGCCAGCCGCCGCGGUAAUAC